rnacentral:lncRNA from 1 species
ACAGAACACUUGAGGAACACAUAAGCAAGUCUGGGAAAAUCACGAGAAGUAGGGCUGGGAUGUAGCUCAGAGGCAGGGUGUUUGCCUACUGUGUGUGAUACUCUAGUCCUGGAAAAAGGAGAACAACAACAAAAGAGAAGGGCUGACGAAAUGGCUCAGCAAGAUCAAGAUGCUUGCCGCCAAGCCUGAUCGCCUGAGUUCUGUCCCUGGCGUUACGUGGUGGAAGGAGAGAACCAACUACUGAAAGUUGUUCUCUGACCUUCACACACAUGCGCUGGCACACAAGCACCCACACACAAAACCACACUAUAAAUAAAUGUACCUUUAAAAGAAGCAGAGGAGGGGGGUGGGAAGGGUCUUCUAGGGGGUAGGUGUUCCUGUUUUCUCCAAGUGAAAUAUUCAGACACGAAACUAGUUCCCAAGAUGCAGUUAGGUAGGCCCCAUAAACCCUGCCAUUAAGGAAUUUCCUCAUUGAUAAGAGACUCAGACCUCCAUACACUUGGUUUCAGGUUUCCUGGGACACUGAAGGACUUGAACUCAUUACACUUUUAUCGGGGUUGCAGAAUACUUUAGUCAAGGUUAAUGAGUGCCAUAUUUAUCCUUGUGCAGUGCUUUUGCAUUUCCAACAGCUUUAUAAUUUAUUGAUCUUUUUUUUUUAAAUAAUUUUUGUUUGUAGCCUGUAUGGCUCUGUUCCAAGAAAGGACAGAAUGCGGGGAUCAGAUGGCAGCCAUCGUGUUCUAUAGCAAUGGUUUUUGCAAAGGAAGAAGCCUUUUCCUUUCAGAAGCAAAAACGGUAGUAUUUUGGAAAUGCUGGGGAUAAAUAUAAAGGCGCUUAAGGUUUACUAACCACUUGACAGUAAUAAAAUUAGCAUGCUUUCAAACAGUGUUCCUUUUGCCUCUUAGGAUUUUUGGUUCUGUUUGUUACCUAAUUAGGUUGCUUGUAUAACUGGAGCGGCCCUCAUCACUAGUCAUCUCCCUCCUCCACCCCCUUUUGUCAUCCUCACCAUGUUAUCUUUUUUUGAGGCAAGGUCUCAUGUAGCUCUGGUGAGUCUUGAACUUGCUGUGUAGUGCAGCCAAUGCCCCAUUUUAUGUGGCGCUGAGGCUCAAACCCAGGGAAUCCUGCAUGCUAGGCAAGUGCUUUACCAACUGAACUACAUCUUAGGGCCCCAGCUACCAUCUUUAGAGCUUGUCAUGUUGUCUGAGGACCAAGUCACUGUGUUCUCUGUCCAUACUUCCCCAGCCUUCUGCUUCUAGAGUGGCUCCUGCAUGCUUGCUCCCAGCUGACAUCAUUCUGAUAUCAUGUGUCUCUGGAUGAGGCCUUCUGAACCAGGCCCAGAGAGGCCUCUCCUGAUGCCUUCCUCCCUAGUGACUCUUUGCAGCCUCUCUUUAUACUUUCUUUUUUCCCUGCUGCUCUGGGUGUUAUUUAGACUUGGCACUUGGUUUUCUCUCCCUCCCCCCCCCCCCCCUCUCUCUCUCUCUCUCUCUCUUUCUUUCUUUCUUCCUUUCUCGAGACAGUUUCUCUGUAUAGCCCUGGCUGUCUUGAAACUCACUCUGUAGACCAGGCUGGCCUCAAACUCAGGAAUCUAUCCACCUGCCUCUGCCUCCCAAGUGCUGGGAUUAAAGGCAUGUGCCGCCACUGUCUGGUUAUCCCUUACUCUUUCAUCUUCAACAUCUUUCUUCUCCAUUGACUCCUCUGUUAGCUAGCACUUCUUCUUUGAAGUGUUUUUUAAAGUUUAUUCUGUGGGCUGGCAGUGGUGGUGCAUGCUUUUUCGCCACUCAGGAGGCAGGAGGCAGGCAAAUCUCUGAGCUUGGUCUACAGAGUGAGUUCUAGGACAUUCAAGGGGUACACAGAGAAACCCUGUCUUGAAAAACAAAACAAAACAACCUACAAACCAACCCUCUCUAAGCCAAACCAGACCAAACCAAACCAAACCAAACCAACAAAUGAAAAGC